rnacentral:rRNA from 1 species
GACGAACGCUGGCGGCGUGCCUAAUACAUGCAAGUCGAACGAGUGGCGGACGGUUGAGUAACACGUGGGAACCUACCCAUCAGAGUGGUAUAACACUUGGCAACUGGUGCUAAUACCGCAUACUGGUGUAUGGACCCGCGGGGGAUUAGCUUGUGGGUGAGGUAACGGCUCACCAAGUCCACGAUGCAGAGCCGGUCUGAGAGGAUGAUCGGCCACACUGGGACUGAGACACGGUCCAGACUCCUACGGGAGGCAGCAGUGGGGAAUAUUGCACAAUGGGCGCAAGCCUGAUACAGCCAUGCCGCGUGUGUGAAGAAGGCCUUCGGGUUGUAAAGCACUUUCAGCGAGGAGGCGUUACUCGCAGAAGAAGCACCGGCUAACUCCGUGCCAGCAGCCGCGGUAAUUC